UACGUAGGGUGCAAGCGUUGUCCGGAAUUAUUGGGCGUAAAGAGCUCGUAGGCGGUCUGUCGCGUCGAAUGUGAAAACCCGGGGCUCAACCCCGGGCCUGCAUUCGAUACGGGCAGACUAGAGUUCGGUAGGGGAGUCUGGAAUUCCUGGUGUAGCGGUGAAAUGCGCAGAUAUCAGGAGGAACACCGGUGGCGAAGGCGGGCUCUGGGCCGAUACUGACGCUGAGGAGCGAAAGCGUGGGGGAGCGAAACAGG
rnacentral:rRNA from 1 species